AUGCUCCCCAGGACUGGUUCAGGCCCUUCACAAACACGUUGGUCCUGGGAAGAAGCCUCGCCAACCCUUCCUGUUACUUGCUCAGAAAUAAGCUACCUCAUCACACAUCCUGCCCAGGUUAUGCUUUCUGGGGAUGGAAAGAAAAACCUGAAAUUAGCAUACUCAUUUAAACUAUCUGUCACUAAAAGAAUUGUGCUUUUUUUUUUUUUUUUUAGGGUAACAGCUGUCUUUUUAAUUAACGAGAGUCACAGAUACACGAUGCUCACAAAAUAUUGCACCGCACAUUCUGUUCACCCCUGGCGGGCCGGGUGCACCCUUCCAUCUCGCGAUGGAAUAGACAGCAAGCCAGCGCAGCUGCAGAAACAGCGAGAGAGCAGGAGAAUGUGGACUCUCAGGGCACCCCAGGCAGAGGCCGGAGAGGCAGGCCUGGGGCAGGUCUCAGAAAGCUCUACCCUCCGCAGAGCUUGCACUCAUCCUCAGGAAAAUUCAGGGAAGAAGCAGCUACUGAUCUGUGAGCCACAACCUGACUUCACAGGGAAAGCUCUCUGGACACCACAGCCACUCCUGGGUCCCCUGGCAAACUCCGGUCAGGUCAGCAUCUCCACGGCCUGUCCAGCACCUCGGCCAUCUUCACAGCAUCCCAGAGCCUGGGGGUAGACGAGCUCUCCUGGGAGCGGAGCGAGGGGAUGAAGGGCUAGGGGCGUCUUUGAGAUUGAUCCCAGAGGAGCAGCUGCAGCCGCCCGUGCAGCCCCUCCAUCGGCUCUGCCCAUUCCCCGCUGUGUGCCAGCAGCUCUUUAGGGUCCAGGAGCAUCGGCAUCCGUGCUGGAGGAGGGCUCAGGCCACGCCUUUCCUGCCACGCUCACAGUGUUUCACCGGUCCCGGUGCCCACACACCAGCGGCCACAUCUUAGCCCCUGGACUAGCCAUGCCCUUCUAUUUAUGACCAAGGUGAGUCCUGGCCACGGAGAAAAGGAGGCGCGGCCAAGGUCAAGAGGCAGCACCGUAACUGCAGGCACCUGCCCUGCUGAGAAGAGCCCAGGUCUCCUGUGAAGCUUGCACGACGUGGAAUAAAACGUGUUAGCUCACUGGGGACA
rnacentral:lncRNA from 1 species